UAAACACCUUUGUGAACCAGUCAGGGGGACUCGGCCGUGAAAGCCCAGGCGAUUAGCGGAAGGGCCCUCCUUUGCAAACCCGUUUAGAAGUCUUGAAAGUACUUUUGUAUAAUCUAGUAAAACUUAUAGCAACGGAUCUCUUGGCUCUCGUAUCGAUGAAGAACGCAGCGAAAUGUGAUAAGUAAUGUGAAUUGCAGAAUUCAGUGAAUCAUCGAAUCUUUGAACGCAUCUUGCGCUCUUUGGUAUUCCGAAGAGCAUGUCUGUCUGAGUGUCACGAAACUCUCAACCUCCUUUCCUUUGUGAUCGGCUGGUUGGAUCAUGGGCGCUUGCCGGCCAGGUCGGCUCGCCUGAAAUGCAUUUGCGAUGUUGUGUCCUUGUGAGUUGGCCCGACUAGGCGUGAUGGUAACGACGUUCGUCUAGGAUCCCGCUUCGGCGAGGAGCCGC
rnacentral:rRNA from 1 species